rnacentral:rRNA from 1 species
CCAGACUCCUACGGGAGGCAGCAGUGGGGGAUAUUGGACAAUGGGGGGAACCCUGAUCCAGCGGCGCCGCGUGAGUGAAGAAGUAUUUCGGUAUGUAAAGCUCUGUCAGCAGGGAAGAAAGAAAUGACGGUACCUGACCAAGAAGCCCCGGCUAACUACGUGCCAGCAGCCGCGGUAAUACGUAGGGGGCAAGCGUUAUCCGGAAUUACUGGGUGUAAAGGGAGCGUAGACGGCAGCGCAAGUCUGAAGUGAAAUGCCGGGGCUUAACCCCGGAACUGCUUUGGAAACUGUGCAGCUAGAGUGCAGGAGAGGUAAGUGGAAUUCCUAGUGUAGCGGUGAAAUGCGUAGAUAUUAGGAGGAACACCAGUGGCGAAGGCGGCUUACUGGACUGUAACUGACGUUGAGGCUCGAAAGCGUGGGGAGCAAACAGGAUUAGAUACCCCUGUA